rnacentral:lncRNA from 1 species
CCGAUCGUGGAUGGAGGGGUGAUCAGCCGGGGGAUCCGCCGCGGAGGGGUCGCGUCGACGGGAGACGGCGAUGCGGGUCGCCGCGGAGGCGUCGGACGCCACGGUCGGUCCGCUACCUCGGGGUCGCGUCGAUGGAAGGCUCAGAGGACGCCGAUGUCUCAGUGUCCCGGGCGCUCGCCGAGGUUGAGCACCUGACUCGUGGGGUGAUUUGCCGGGGGUUUCGCCGCGGAGGGGUCGCGGCGACGGGAGACGGCGAUGCGGGUCGCCGCGGAGGCGUCGGACGCCACGGUCGGUCCGCUACCUCGGGGUCGCGUCGAUGGAAGGCUCCGAGGACGCCGAUGUCUCAGUGUCCCGGGCGCUCGCCGAGGUUGAGCACCUGACUCGUGGGGUGAUUUGCCGGGGGAUCCGCCGCGCAUGGUGAUUUGGUUUGUAUAACAUUUCAAAUUUGCUUC